GGGGCUGUAACGGUUUCGACGUUUUGGCGAACGUUACAUCAUGACGCAGGUCGAGAGUGAGCACCUCUCGUGAAUCCAGGCUCAAAAAAAUAGAUGCAAACAACAUCGUACCUUUUGCUCGUAAGCAAGCACUCGUUGCUGCCUAAAUACCUCUAACGGUUCGAGCGUCUGUCAUUUGACUCCGUUAAGGAUGGCGGACAAACCCCAACGGAUGCGCUAGACCACCACCUCUGGUUGGUGCCUGGCUAAGACCUUACCAGAGCAUCCUAUCGUCCGGGAUAAUGGACGAUUCCCGCCGUGAGGAUCAGAUCGGCUAAACCUGUGAAUGAGUGAUGUAUUAAUACCCAGAGCGGACACGGGUUCGACUCCCGUCAGCUCCAUUC
rfam:Oscillatoriales cyanobacterium JSC-12 chromosome, whole genome shotgun sequence.